CACCGCGGUUAUACGAGAGGCCCAAAUUGAUAGGCACCGGCGUAAAGGGUGGUUAUGAUUAAACUAAAAUAAAGUCAAAUGCCCUCAAGGCUGUUAUACGCACCCGAAGGUAAGAGGUUCAACUACGAAAGUGACUUUAAAAACUCUGACCCCACGAAAGCUAGGCCA
rnacentral:rRNA from 2 species